AUGGGGAAAUCAGUAGGAAAAUUUUCUGAUUUCAACAGGGCCUGGAUUUCAUCGUGUGUGUGCGGGGGUCCAGACCUUCCCGGUGGCUUCUUUGCUCAUGUGUCCAGCCUUCCCCCUGUGUGGGCAAGUGGCAAACCGGAUGCCCCCUCCCUCGACUCCUGGUGCCUUCGUUUGCGUGUCCUCUCCCGAGGUGGAAAUCAUGAGUCUUCCCUCCAGAAGCCUGAUCCUCAAUCCUGGCCUGUCUUAUCACAGAACUGAAAACGCACCGGGCAACCUGGAGACCCGCUCGGGCACRGUGGGAGUUGAUAGCAGGGAUUCUCCCUCGCCUGCUUGCAGACCACUUGCAGGUCCAUGAGUGCGUGAAUAAUUAGGAAUUGCAAAUUCUAGGAAAUCGCAGGCCCUUAAUGAGAGGACGGAGGACAGGGAUUUGUACACAAGUUAUGCAAAGUGUUUAUCAAGCUUGAGUUUUUCCAUCCAUCUUUCUACCACCCCUGUCCUCCCACCAGCCGGUCUAUCCAGACUCCCACCCAUCCCUGUGUGCUCCAGCCCAUCCGCUUGCCCCCCGUGGCCUUAUCUCGUGGUCCGUCCGUGUCUCCAUAUGUUGCGUCCAUGUGAGAAGCCGGACUUCAGGCUACGCGGAAGGAGCACGGUGAAGCUAGCCCAGUCAACCCAGAAGUUAAGUAACUUUCUGGCUGCUUUGUUUUGUCAGGGGAAGAUCUUCUAAUUGGAGCUGAAGGCUGGGAUCCUUCCUCUCCCACCCUUGGACCAACUUGAGAAUUCCUUCGGGCAGGCAGGGCUUUUGCAAGAGACCUAAUAUUUGGGUUGCAACUUAAUUUAUUUUCCCUUCCCCUGGUCAAAAUGGCUUCCAGCUCCGUGCGAGAGGAGGGAGGCAUGAAUUCCUUGGAGGCUGGCGCGGCGACGCGGUGGCCGUACGCCCGUCCUGGAGCCGGGUGGGUGGCAUGCCGCUGCCUCGGUCACGCGGAGCUGGGCCCCUGCGGACCCCGCGCCGGCGCUGCACGUGCAGCUGCUGCACAGCAGCACCCCAGCAGCCCGGGCCGUAGUGGCAUCCGGGUCCGAGGAUGCUUCCCCAUCGCCUUUGCUCUCCAGGG
rnacentral:lncRNA from 1 species